rnacentral:lncRNA from 1 species
UAUUUCCUAAAAUCAGUUUUUUUUCUUAAUUUUCUUUUCAUAUGACCCUAAUCUAACUACAGGAGAUUGGAUGCAGGUAUGUAUAGAUGGCAGCAGAAAUUUUUCUCUCUCCUGGGUCACUUAUCUCAAUUAGUAUGAAGCCUCUCAGUGUCAUACAUAGUAAUGACUCAGUAUGUGAUUAACCAAAUUACUUAUUCCAGAUACAUUAAAUUUGGGGAAUUUAAAUUUAUGAAGAAGGAAAAAUGGCAGAGGAAGACACGGUUAACAAGAAGGAUGGAAUGAUGAGCCUAAUGAAAGGGUUUGGCUGAAUGCUCUCUGGUGUCUCCUGAAACUCUUGAGAUUUCUUGACCCAAUUAUCCUAGAGAUUGUUCAAAACUUCCUCCUACAAUUCUUCUCCCUUAUAAAAUAUAUUUUGAAUAUUCUACAGAAUUAAUAUUUUGGGGAAAAAAUCAUUCCCUUAGUCAUUCUCAAUGGAUUGUUUUCAACCUGACUUCCAGUGAGGAAUUAAUUCUGAGUCUCAUAGUGAAAAUAUUUGGGAAUUUCUGGAUGUAGAAGUAAGACUCUUUGUUCAAGCAUAUGCCAGAUUUUUUGUCUUUGUUUUUGUAACUGCCACACAUUACUUCAUUUACCAAAGAAGAGUGAUUCUUUGCUUUCUCCUUUGACUUUCUAACUCCUGAUUUUGUAUCUCAGUCUUUUUCACUCAUAAUCAACCUUUUGUCCCACCAUGGAGGCAAAUCAAGAUCCUAGGCUUCUCUGUGCAGAUUUACUCAUGUUUUUAAAUACAUAGAUUUGCAGUUGGAAGUUCUUUCUUCCUCCAUAUUGAGGAGACAUGUUGAAGUUGCUGAGUGAUUGGUGAGAGAAGCUGCAUGGCACUCACUAUGUGUCUGGAUUUCUCUGCCUGGAUGAGUGAGAAUCUGCUGGUAUCAUGACACAACUUACUGUUGGCAGCCUUGCCAGCUGCCUGGUUUGGGCAUGCACUCUGGCUGCUCUUAACUGCCUUAACUUCAGGUUAUCCAUUGUCACAGUAGACAUGCAGCCUAUGCCCUGUGUGAAGGCAAGAAGAGGAGGGGGUUUGAAAAACACAGAAGAUAGGUUAGGUAUAGAGUCUUGGUUGUCAUCUCUUGACGGGGGAUGUGACCUCCGUAAGGAGAAUGUUCUCAGCCUGAUGGUUCUGAGAGUCAGUGCAGCUUUAAUGUCAUUUUGAAUAAUUCAGUUGAG